rnacentral:rRNA from 1 species
GACGAACGCUGGCGGCGUGCUUAACACAUGCAAGUCGAACGAAGGGCGAUGGAAGCUUGCUUCUAUCACUCUUAGUGGCGAACGGGUGAGUAACGCGUAAUCAACCUGCCCUUCAGAGGGGGACAACAGUUGGAAACGACUGCUAAUACCGCAUACGAUCUAAUCUCGGCAUCGAGGAUAGAUGAAAGGUGGCCUCUACAUGUAAGCUAUCACUGCAGGAGGGGAUUGCGUCUGAUUAGCUAGUUGGAGGGGUAACGGCCCACCAAGGCGAUGAUCAGUAGCCGGUCUGAGAGGAUGAACGGCCACAUUGGGACUGAGACACGGCCCAGACUCCUACGGGAGGCAGCAGUGGGGAAUCUUCCGCAAUGGACGAAAGUCUGACGGAGCAACGCCGCGGGAGUGAUGACGGCCGUCGGGUUGUAAAGCUCUGUUAAUCGGGACGAAAGGCCUUCUUGCGAAUAGUGAGAAGGAUUGACGGUACCGGAAUAGAAAGCCACGGCUAACUACGUG